rnacentral:rRNA from 1 species
GAUCUCAAAUCAAGUAGACAGCCGUUAGUU